rnacentral:misc_RNA from 1 species
GAAGAUCACUUGCUAUUUUUCUUACUUCUUUUGGCCAGGUUGCAGUGUACAUAAGCGUCUGUCUCCGAGGAGGUAUCUCAUUCACAAUUUUACGAAUUUGAGGUUCAAAACCCAUAUCAAGCAUUCGAUCAGCCUCAUCAAGCACAAGAAGUGAAACUUGCCCAAAGUUGAUCUUCUUCAUUUCAAGGAUAUCAUUGAGUCGACCAGGAGUGGCUACAACAAUAUCUGCACCUCGAUCAAGCUCUUUUAGUUGAGGGCCCUUGGGAGCUCCACCAUACAAGCACGUGCAAGAGACCCUUGAUGAUCGGCCAAAUUUUAUCACCUCGUCUUGUAUUUGUGUGGCAAGCUCCCUUGUUGGAGCUAAAACCAGUACAGUAGGACCAUUCUGAGGAUUAUUAUGGCAUUGUCUAAGAAGAAUGAAGGCAGGGAUCAGGUAGCCCAAUGUUUUACCAGAACCAGUUUUGGCAAUUGCCACAGUAUCCCGAUUUUGUAGUGCAAUUGGCCAAGUUUGUGCCUGGAUAGGAGUAGGAGAUAAGAACCCAGCGGCAUGGAUAUCUCUUAAUAUCUCAGGAGGAAAACCAGUGGCUUCAAAUGUGAUGAAUGGAGCAGGAACAUUGUCACCCGUAGCUGUGACUUCAUGCUCCCGUCGAUAAACCUCUGCAGGUGAGAGGUUAGUGACAUCUGAAGUUCCAACAAAAGGGGGCCUAAUCAAAGCAUUGUUUGGAAAUGGACCACCGCCAAUUGCAUGAUUAUACAUAUUAUGCAUGGUAUGCCCAGCUGCAUUAAAUCCACCAGCAUAACCAGUUGUAACAUUCUGAAAUGUUACACCACCCAUCCUCGACUCCUGCUGAUUUAUUCCCUUCGGCAUGGCUGCAAGGUUAGGCUGACCAGGACUAACUAUGGGCCCUUCCACUUUAGGAUUGAAAUAGUAAUCACUGCCAGCCCUACCAUGUAUAUUCAUCUCAGAACCGACUGUUAAUCCAACAGGAGGAACAUUAGACUGCUGAUUAUGCAUCAUUGAUGGACUGAAAUGAUUUUGAAAUGGAGGACCAUGCUGCUGAUGAACUAAAUCAGCCCCACUUUGCUGCAACUGAGCCACGGAGCUAGACUGUUGCAUAUUAACAGCAGAGCCACUGAACUGUUGAGGUUGACCCACAUGAGCAACUGCCUGGGGUGUUAAAACUGAAUCACCUCCAGCAUACAGGUU